rnacentral:lncRNA from 1 species
AUGGUCGAUGCUUCUGAGCAACAUAGGCCCACAUGGAUUCCAUGUGGCCUGGCAUCCACUGUGCACCCUGUGCUGGCGGGUGGCUCAGGAUGGAGUAGUUGCCUUGCGAUGCCCACUGCCUGCUGGCACAGCAGAUGGUCAGUUCUUCUGAGCAGUGGAGUCCCCACGGAGUCGUGGAGUCGGUGUGGCCUGGCAUCCACGGUGUACCCUGUGCUGGUGGAUGGCUCAGGACGGUGGCGUUGGUAUGGAAGGAAGGCCAGUGACCACAAGGGACGAUCUUGA